CCACCUCACACCACGUCAGACCACCUGCGACCACCUGAGACCACGUGACACCAGCCGUGCAGCCGACACGUGGCUGGAUGAAGAAACAGGACCUCUUCAGGUUGUGAAGUCAGUGACUGUGAACUGAUGUGACAGCUCAGAGUAAAGUUUGUUCACACACCUGGAGAAACACCUGCAGAGAACUUCAUUAGCCGGCGUGCUGACAGUCCAAUAAUGUUACUUCAGGAACACUUUGCGGAGGACGAGUUGUGUUGGCGGAGAUGAAUCUCAAGCAAACGUUAUCUAGUCUGUGACGCAAGACUGUGAGAUGUGUGUUGACUCUAUGCAAACAGACGCCAAGCAAAGGAAUGGGAUAUGGAAAUGCAGUUUUGGCUUAUGUGUGGAUGAUGUUUCACUAUGUCGCAUAACCAUUUCAUCAACUUCCCACCGCGGCAGUUUGUGCAGAUAUCCUUGGUUUGCCGGGGUUUUCUCAGCUGGUCCUUUGUGGGUAAAUUGUGCUGGGUGACACAGGGAGCAUUGGAACCAGACGCUACACGUGCAGGGGAAUAAAAGGUGAAAAUAGAGAUGUCAUGAACCUCAUUUAUUUUUCACAGCCCUUG